AAUGAACGCUGGCGGCAUGCCUAACACAUGCAAGUCGAACGAAGGCUUCGGCCUUAGUGGCGCACGGGUGCGUAACGCGUGGGAAUCUGCCCCUUGGUUCGGAAUAACAGUUAGAAAUGACUGCUAAUACCGGAUGAUGACGUAAGUCCAAAGAUUUAUCGCCGAGGGAUGAGCCCGCGUAGGAUUAGCUAGUUGGUGUGGUAAGAGCGCACCAAGGCGACGAUCCUUAGCUGGUCUGAGAGAAUGAUCAGCCACACUGGGACUGAGACACGGCCCAGACUCCUACGGGAGGCAGCAGUGGGGGAUAUUGGACAAUGGGCGAAAGCCUGAUCCAGCAAUGCCGCGUGAGUGAUGAAGGCCUUAGGUUUGUAAAGCUCUUUUACCCGGGAUGAUAAUGACAGUACCGGGAGAAUAAGCUCCGGCUAACUCCGUGCCAGCCGCCGCAGUAA
rnacentral:rRNA from 1 species